CGGUAAUUCCAGCUCCAAUAGCGUAUACUAAAGUUGUUGCAGUUAAAAAGCUCGUAGUUGGAUUUCUGCGGGGACGGAGCGGCCGGUCGCAACUUGCGACUCGAGCUAGCGCUUUCCCCGCAUCCUGCCGCGAACCGUGCUACCAUUAGCUUGGUGGCGCUGGGGAUCGGCUCGAUUACUUUGAGAAAAAUAGAGUGUUCAAAGCAGGCCACACGCCUUGAAUAAGUUAGCAUGGAAUAAUGACUAAGGACUUCGGUUCUAUUUUGUUGGUGUUCGGGACUGAAGUAAUGAUUGAUAGGGACAGUUGGGGCGGUCUGUAUUCCAAAGCGAGAGGUGAAAUUCUUAGACCUUCGGAAGACAAACAGCUGCGAAAGCGUUCCGCAAGGAUGUUCCCUUUGAUCAAGAACGAAAGUUGGGGGAUCGAAGACGAUCAGAUACCGUCGUAGUCUCAACUAUAAACUAUACCAGCUAGGGAUCGGUCAACGUUUAAUCAUUCGACUUGAUCGGCACCUUAUGAGAAAUCAAAGCAUCUGGGUUCCGGGGGGAGUAUGGUCGCAAGGCUGAAACUUAAAGGAAUUGACGGAAGGGCACCACCAGCCGUGGAGCCUGUGGCUUAAUUUGACUCAACACGGGAAAACUUACCAGGUCCAGACAUAGUAAGGAUUGACAGAUUGAUAGCUCUUUCUUGAUUCUGUGGGUGGUGGUGCAUGGCCGUUCUUAGUUAGUGGAGUGAUUUGUCUGGUUAAUUCCGUUAACGAACGAGACCCCAGCCUGCUAAAUAGCGCGGCUGAGCUUUGCUCGGUGCGAGCUUCUUAGAGGGACUAUGAUGCGCGAUAGCACAUGGAAGUUUGGGGCAAUAACAGGUCUGUGAUGCCCUUAGAUGUUCUGGGCCGCACACGGGCUACACUGGCGCCUGCAACGAGCAUAUCAGCUGGCCCGAGAGGGUCUUGGCUAAUCUUUUGAACCGGCGCCGUGCUUGGGAUUGACCAUUGCAAUUGUUGGUCAUGCAACGAGGAAUGCCUUGUAAACGCGAGUCAUCAGCUCGCAUUGAAUACGUCCCUGCCCUUUGUACACACCGCCCGUCGCUCCUACCGAUGAAUGUUCCGAUGAAAUUUUCGGAGAGCGCCAGAGAACGGGGCUCCGCCUUGCAGAUCUGGAGGCUCAAAGUCACUUAAAUCUGAACAUUUCGAGGAAGGAGAAGUCGUAACAAGGUAGCCG
rnacentral:rRNA from 1 species